UACGUAGGGGCCUAGCGUUGUCCGGAUUUAUUGGGCGUAAAGAGCUCGUAGGCGGCUUGGUAAGUCAGGUGUGAAAUCUCCACGCUCAACGUGGAGGGGCCACCCGAAACUGCCAUGGCUUGAGUCCGGUAGGGGAGUGUGGAAUUCCCGGUGUAGCGGUGAAAUGCGCAGAUAUCGGGAGGAACACCAGUGGCGAAGGCGGCUCACUGGCCCGGUACUGACGCUGAGGCGCGAAAGCGUGGGGAGCAAACAGG
rnacentral:rRNA from 1 species